UACGUAGGCAGCGAGCGUUGUUCGGAAUUACUGGGCGUAAAGCGUGCGUAGGUGGUUUGUUAAGUCUGUUGUGAAAGCCCCGGGCUCAACCUGGGAAUGGCAAUGGAUACUGGCAAGCUAGAGUGCGGUAGAGGGUAGUGGAAUUCCCGGUGUAGCGGUGAAAUGCGUAGAGAUCGGGAGGAACACCAGUGGCGAAGGCGGCUACCUGGACCAGCACUGACACUGAGGCACGAAAGCGUGGGGAGCAAACAGG
rnacentral:rRNA from 1 species